rnacentral:misc_RNA from 1 species
AACCACAUUCACUUCACACCAAGAUAACACAUCCCAAAGAGUGAUCUAACAUGUCAUUCUCUAGUCCAUUAUCAACUAAUGGAUAUAAUAAUAUUACAGGUUAGAAUUUAUCCCCAAGGCAAUUUUUGGAACAGAAACAGUAAAACAAAAUAUACUGAGUACUCUCAUUAGUCUAGAUGCAGAUACCAAAAUUUUUGUACCAAAUUUGGUGUAAAAGUAGCAGCAGGUGUUGACCAUUGCAAGCAUUUCGUGAGCUUUGUUGCGAUUUUCAUCAUUUCCAGGCCCUCAAGUUUUUCCCAAUCAAAAAGAUGUAUUUUAACACAUUCAAAAUUGACGCCUGGGGGGUCGCUCUUCUGCAGCGCUUACGCGAAUGGGCCUGCCAUCAAGAGGUCAACAAGGCAAUCGAUAGCUUGAAUGGCUUUGACCUUGAUGGCAGG